CUGCUCCAACAGACCAGUAACAUUUCAUGUUAGUUUAUAAGAGUGCCUUCCUUUCUUCCUUCAGAAAUGGCUAUGACCCAGAAGAAGCAACACAGCACCAUCAAUAUUAGGAAUGUGGUUCCUAACAUUAGGAACAAUCACACUGAGAAUUUACACCAGUGUGAGUGAAAUUGUAUAAGUUGCAGUGAUGAAUUGCUACUAAUUAAUGAGACCUGAACCUUCUCCCAAGUUGCAUCUUAUCGUGGACCACAAAAUGAUGAUCUUUACAACAUAAGCAAAUAGCUGCUCCAUCUGUUCCCGCAGUUCAUUUUCUGGCUUCUUUCCCCAACACCGUGUUACAGAUCAGACUGUUUGCUAAUUGGGUUUUGCAUGUUCUAUGUCUCCUAUGUCACUCACCUUCUUUGUGAAGCAGCCUCAUGAAUACUUUAGAAAUACAAAGAAAAGACGGAAGUUGUGAAUCCCAGUUUUGAGACUUCUGUAUUCUCCUAAUGGAAGACCAUCAAGGAAAAGGGAAGACAAGAUCCAUUAUUGUCCGGAGAAGAAGCAGGUGCCUCUCCCUAACAGAAAGAACAAUCAGAGGAAACAUGCACUUGCCUUCGGACUGCAGAAUUAAAGGCAUGCCCACAAUGGUCUCUUCCACAGGCCAAAAGAACAAAGACUACUGGAUACAGAUGCAGGAGAAAUUUAUAGUGGGGAGAGCUUCCUUGAGAAACCCUCAAAAGCCCCAAGAGCGUAUCCAGCAUGAAGCAGCAGCACCUUCUAUGAUGCUGAGAUUUGAAGAGGAUUAGCAACCCCACAUACACUUGUUCAUUGUAUUAAAAACCCAGAAAGAAAGUUUUCUAACCCAGGAGAGCAGUGUUUGCUUUAGGGCAGUGGUCCCCAACCUUGGGCCUCCAGAUGUUCUUGGCCUACAACUCCCAGAAGCCUUCAGCAACACCUCUGCUGGCCAGGAUUUCUGGGAGUUGAAGUCCAAGAACAUCUGGAGGCCCAAGGUUGGGGACCACUGCUUUAGGGUAAAGAAAAUCAAUUGGAAGUCCUCAUAAAGGAUGUUCAAGAUGGUGGCCAGACAACAGAGGUGUAGCAGAUUUUGGUGUCAGCAACCCACUGUGACCAGCAGAGAAGAAAAACAGUCUUCCAGUAAAUUAAUCAUAGUUGCUGGCUACAACCUAAUAAAGAACAGAUAGGUUGUUGUGGGUUUUCCGGG
rnacentral:lncRNA from 1 species